rnacentral:rRNA from 1 species
UACAGAGGGUGCGAGCGUUAAUCGGAAUGACUGGGCGUAAAGGGUGCGUAGGUGGUUGUAUAAGUGGGUUGUGAAAUCCCCGGGCUUAACCUGGGAAUUGCAACGCAUACUGUAUGACUAGAGUAGUUGAGAGGCGUGUGGAAUUUCCGGUGUAGCGGUGAAAUGCGUAGAGAUCGGAAAGAACACCAGUGGCGAAGGCGGCACGCUGGCAACAUACUGACACUGAUGCGCGACAGCAUGGGGAGCAAACAGG